UGGGGAAUUUUCCGCAAUGGGCGCAAGCCUGACGGAGCAAUACCGCGUGAGGGAGGAAGGCCUUUGGGUUGUAAACCUCUUUUCUCAGGGAAGAAGUCAGUGACGGUACCUGAGGAAUCAGCAUCGGCUAACUCCGUGCCAGCAGCCGCGGUAAUACGGAGGAUGCAAGCGUUAUCCGGAAUUAUUGGGCGUAAAGAGUCCGUAGGUGGUCUCUCAAGUCUGCUGUUAAAGAGUGGAGCUCAACUCCAUAGGGGCGGUGGAAACUGAGAAGCUAGAGUUCGGUAGGGGUAGAGGGAAUUCCCAGUGUAGCGGUGAAAUGCGUAGAGAUUGGGAAGAACACCGGUGGCGAAAGCGCUCUACUGGGCCGAAACUGACACUGAGGGACGAAAGCUAGGGGAGCGAAAGGGAUUAGAUACCCCCGUAGUCC
rnacentral:rRNA from 1 species